rnacentral:rRNA from 1 species
UACAGAGGGGGCAAGCGUUAUUCGGAAUUAUUGGGCGUAAAGGGCGCGUAGGCGGCCUGGCAAGUGGAGGGUGAAAUCCCUCGGCUUAACCGAGGAACUGCCCUCCAAACUGCCUGGCUUGAGUCCGGGAGAGGUGAGUGGAAUUCCCAGUGUAGCGGUGAAAUGCGUAGAUAUUGGGAGGAACACCAAUUGCGAAGGCAGCUCGCUGGGACGUUACUGACGCUGAGACGCGAAAGCGUGGGGAGCAAACAGG